rnacentral:rRNA from 1 species
GGUGGACAUGUGGUUUAUUCGAUGCAACGCGAAGAACCUUACCUACUCUUGACAUCCAGAGAACUUUCCAGAGAUGCUUUGGUGCCUUCGGGAACUCUGAGACAGGUGCUGCAUGGCUGUCGUCAGCUCGUGUUGUGAAAUGUUGGGUUAAGUCCCGCAACGAGCGCAACCCUUAUCCUUUGUUGCCAGCGGUCCGGCCGGGAACUCAAAGGAGACUGCCAGUGAUAAACUGGAGGAAGGUGGGGAUGACGUCAAGUCAUCAUGGCCCUUACGAGUAGGGCUACACACGUGCUACAAUGGCGCAUACAAAGAGAAGCGACCUCGCGAGAGCAAGCGGACCUCAUAAAGUGCGUCGUAGUCCGGAUUGGAGUCUGCAACUCGACUCCAUGAAGUCGGAAUCGCUAGUAAUCGUGGAUCAGAAUGCCACGGUGAAUACGUUCCCGGGCCUUGUACCACCCGGCCCGU